AGGGUUUGAUUCUGGCUCAGGAUGAACGCUGACAGAAUGCUUAACACAUGCAAGUCAACUUGAAUUUGGGUUUUUAACUUAGGUUUGGGUGGCGGACGGGUGAGUAACGCGUAAAGAACUUGCCUCACAGUUAGGGACAACAUUUGGAAACGAAUGCUAAUACCUAAUAUUAUGAUAAUAGGGCAUCCUAUAAUUAUGAAAGCUAUAAGCGCUGUGAGAGAGCUUUGCGUCCCAUUAGCUAGUUGGAGAGGUAACGGCUCACCAAGGCGAUGAUGGGUAGCCGGCCUGAGAGGGUGAUCGGCCACAAGGGGACUGAGACACGGCCCUU
rnacentral:rRNA from 1 species